GACGAACGCUGGCGGCGUGCCUAAUACAUGCAAGUAGAACGCACAGUUUAUACCGUAGCUUGCUACACCAUAAACUGUGAGUUGCGAACGGGUGAGUAACGCGUAGGUAACCUGCCUGGUAGCGGGGGAUAACUAUUGGAAACGAUAGCUAAUACCGCAUAAUAUUGAUUAUUGCAUGAUAAUUGAUUGAAAGAUGCUAUUGCAUCACUACCAGAUGGACCUGCGUUGUAUUAGCUAGUAGGUGAGGUAACGGCUCACCUAGGCGACGAUACAUAGCCGACCGGAGAGGGUGAUCGGCCACACUGGGACUGAGACACGGCCCAGACUCCUACGGGAGGCAGCAGUAGGGAAUCUUCGGCAAUGGACGAAAGUCUGACCGAGCAACGCCGCGUGAGUGAAGAAGGUUUUCGGAUCGUAAAGCUCUGUUGUAAGAGAAGAACGGGUGUGAGAGUGGAAAGUUCACACUGUGACGGUAUCUGACCAGAAAGGGACGGCUAACUACGUG
rnacentral:rRNA from 1 species